UACGUAGGUGGCAAGCGUUAUCCGGAAUUAUUGGGCGUAAAGGGUGCGUAGGCGGUUUAUUAAGUCUAUGGUGAAAGUGCGGGGCUCAACCCCGUAUGGCCAUAGAAACUAGUAGACUUGAGUGCAGGAGAGGGCAAUGGAAUUCCACGUGUAGCGGUAAAAUGCGUAGAUAUGUGGAGGAACACCAGUGGCGAAGGCGGUUGCCUGGCCUGUAACUGACGCUGAGGCACGAAAGCGUGGGGAGCAAAUAGGG
rnacentral:rRNA from 1 species